GAGGAAAGGAGCCAUCUGGGAUUUCCGGGUAGUUUAUGGGAAAGGGGCAGUGGAGCAGGGAAGGAUGCGGUGUGUGACCUCGAAGGAAGCCACAGCAGCACGGCCGAUGGGGUUUGCGUGAACCGCCCAGCCACCUCUGCUGACCUGGCUCUUCCUGCUGCCUCACGAUGCCUCAGCCCCAAGAACUGAGGGCUCAAGGGACCCAUAGGCUUUGGUUUUCUGGCCCUGGGAUGUACCCCCCGCCCCCCAGGCUGCACCUUUCUCCAGGAUUAAAGCCCCUUUCCUCCCCACUCCCGAGGAUGCUUCACGGGAACAGAGCUGGGAAAUCUCUCAGCUGUGUGUCAUUUCACCAGAGUGGUCUUUUAAAAAGAAGUCACAGAGCCUGAUGCAGGGCUCGAAAUCACAAACUGUGAGGCCAUGACCGGAGCCAAAG